rnacentral:rRNA from 1 species
AUUGAACGCUGGCGGCAUGCUUUACACAUGCAAGUCGAACGGUAACAGGCCUUCGGGUGCUGACGAGUGGCGAACGGGUGAGUAAUGCAUCGGAACGUGCCCAGAGGUGGGGGAUAACGCAGCGCAAGCUGUGCUAAUACCGCAUGUGAUCUGAGGAUGAAAGCGGGGGACCAGGCAGCAAUGUUUGGCCUCGCGCCUUUGGAGCGGCCGAUGUCAGAUUAGGUAGUUGGUGGGGUAAAGGCCUACCAAGCCGACGAUCUGUAGCUGGUCUGAGAGGACGACCAGCCACACUGGGACUGAGACACGGCCCAGACUCCUACGGGAGGCAGCAGUGGGGAAUUUUGGACAAUGGGCGCAAGCCUGAUCCAGCAAUGCCGCGUGCGGGAAGAAGGCCUUCGGGUUGUAAACCGCUUUUGUACGGAACGAAAAGGCUCUGGCUAAUACCUGGGGCUGAUGACGGUACCGUAAGAAUAAGCACCGGCUAACUACGUG